CUUCAUUUCCGCCACCCGAACUCGGCUCGUAGCGCCGCUCCCCGCAUUUCAGCAGGCGGACGGGUGACUAACACGUGGGCAACCUGCCCUACAGAUGGGGAUAACUCCGGGAAACCGGGGCUAAUACCGAAUAAUCAGUUUGUCCGCAUGGACAAACUCUGAAAGACGGUUUCGGCUGUCACUGUAGGAUGGGCCCGCGGCGCAUUAGCUAGUUGGUGGGGUAAUGGCCUACCAAGGCGACGAUGCGUAGCCGACCUGAGAGGGUGAUCGGCCAAACUGGGACUGAGACACGGCCCAGACUCAUACGGGAGGCAGCAGUAGGGAAUCUUCCACAAUGGACGAAAGUCUGAUGGAGCAAUGCCGCGUGAGCGAAGAAGGUUUUCGGAUCGUAAAGCUCUGUUGUAAGGGAAGAACAAGUACGGGAGUAACUGCCCGUGCCAUGACGGUACCUUAUUAGAAAGCCACGGCUAACUACGUGCCAGCAGCCGCGGUAAUACGUAUGUGGCAAGCGUUGUCCGGAAUUAUUGGGCGUAAAGCGCGCGCAGGCGGUUCUUUAAGUCUGAUGUGAAAGCCCACGGCUCAACCGUGGAGGGUCAUUGGAAACUGGAGAACUUGAGUACAGAAGAGGAAAGCGGAAUUCCACGUGUAGCGGUGAAAUGCGUAGAGAUGUGGAGGAACACCAGUGGCGAAGGCGGCUUUCUGGUCUGUAACUGACGCUGAGGCGCGAAAGCGUGGGGAGCAAACAGGAUUAUAUACCCUGGUAGUCCACGCCGUAAACGAUGAGUGCUAAGUGUUACGGGGUUUCCGCCCCUUAGUGCUGCAGCUAACGCAUUAAGCACUCCGCCUGGGAGUACGGCCGCACGGCUGAAACUCAAUGAAUUGACGGGGACCCGCACAAGCGGUGUAGCAUGUGGUUUAAUUCGAAGCACGCGAAAACCUUACCAGGUCUUGACAUCCCGCUGCCCGUGUAGAGAUCCUCCUUUCCUUCGCGACAGCGGUGACCGGUGGUGCAUGGUUGUCGUCAGCUCGUGUCGUGAGAUGUUGGGUUAAGUCCCCCAACGAGCGCAACCCUUGAUUUUAGUUGCCAGCAUUCAGUUGGGCACUCUAAGGUGACUGCCGGUGAUAAACCGGAGGAAGGUGGGGAUGACGUCAAAUCAUCAUGCCCCUUAUGACCUGGGCUACACACGUGAUACAAUGGAUGAUACAGAGGGUUGCCAACCCGCGAGGGGGAGCCAAUCCCAUAAAAUCAUUCCCAGUUCGGAUUGGAGGCUGCAACUCGCCUCCAUGAAGCCGGAAUCGCUAGUAAUCGUGGAUCAGCAUGCCACGGUGAAUACGUUCCCGGGUCUUGUACACACCCCCCGUCUACACCACCCAGAGUUUGUAACAACUCGAGAGUAGCGAAGCGGUACAUCUUUCCGCUAUGCGCAUAC
rnacentral:rRNA from 1 species